rnacentral:rRNA from 1 species
GACGUAGGUGGCGAACGUUAUCCGGAAUUAUUGGGCGUAAAGGGUGCGUAGGCUGCAUAAUAAGUUAUUGGCGGGAAAUCGAGGCUCAACCUCGUGGAAACUGAUAAUACUGUUUUGCUUGAGUACAGGAGAGGUUAACGGAACUCCAUGUGGAGCGGUAAAAUGUGUAGAUAUAUGGAAGAACAUCAAUAACGGCGAAGGCAGUUAACUAUUCUGUUACUGACGUUGAGGCACGAAAGCGUGGGGAGCAAAAAGG